rnacentral:rRNA from 1 species
AUGGCCGGAAGGGUGGCCGACUUCCUCCCCUUGACCGGCGCCCUGGUGUCCGGGAAGCAGCCGUCGGCCGUCAGGUCGGCCACCUCCCCGAACUCCGACACGCUGAUCGGGAACGGCAGCAGGUGCCCUCCCAGGUCCUCCACCCUGUCCCGCGUGUACGCGUCCCACAGCGCCUCCGCCGCGCGCCGCACCGCGCGCACGCACUCCGCGCUCUCGGGCUCCAGGAACACGCCCUCGCCGGCGCCGGCGCCCGUGUGGCUCAUGAAGUGCUCGUGCCACAGCGACAUCCGGAACCCGUGCACGAGCCCCCGGGCGCGCCCGCCGCCCGGCCCGUUCAGGUGCGCCGGCUGGUAG